AUUCCAGCUCCAAUAGCGUAUAUUAAAGUUGUUGCAGUUAAAAAGCUCGUAGUUGGAUUUCUGGGAGGGUGGCGAUGUCCGCUUAACGUGUGUGCAGCGGCGCCCUUCCAUCCUUCUGUUAGCGUCUCUUGGCAUUCAUUUGCUGGUGGCGGGCUCAGAUAUUUUACCUUGAGAAAAUUAGAGUGUUUCAGGCAGGCUAGGCCGGAAUACAUUAGCAUGGAAUAAUGGAAUAGGACUACGGUCUCUUUGUUGGUUUGAGGGACUGCAGUAAUGAUUAAUAGGGAUAGUUGGGGGCAUUAGUAUUUAAUUGUCAGAGGUGGAAUUCUCGGAUUUGUUAAAGACUAACUUAUGCGAAAGCAUUUGCCAAGGAUGUUUUCAUUG
rnacentral:rRNA from 1 species